rnacentral:rRNA from 1 species
GACGAACGCUGGCGGCGUGCUUAACACAUGCAAGUCGAGCGAUGAAUUUUCUUCGGAAAUGGAUUAGCGGCGAACGGGUGAGGAACACGUGAAGAAUCUGCCCUCCACUUUGGGAUAACACCGGGAAACCUGUGCUAAUACCGAAUAUUGAAACAUAACUGGCAUCACUGAGUUUUGAAAGAAUUUCGGUGGAGGAUGACUUCGCGGCCUAUCAGCUAGUUGGUGAGGUAAUGGCUCACCAAGGCAACGACGGGUAGCCGGCCUGGGAGGGCGACCGGCCACACUGGGACUGAGACACGGCCCAGACUCCUACGGGAGGCAGCAGUGGGGAAUAUUGGGCAAUGGAGGAAACUCUGACCCAGCGACGCCGCGUGCGGGAUGAAGGCCUUCGGGUUGUAAACCGCUUUCAGUAGGGAAGAAGCGAAAGUGACGGUACCUACAAAAGAAGCACCGGCUAACUAUGUGCCAGCAGCCGCCGUAA